AUGGCAGAAUUCAGUGAAUCAUCGAAUCUUUGAACGCAUCUUGCGCUCCUUGGUAUUCUGAGGAGCAUGCCUGUUUGAGUGUCAUU
rnacentral:rRNA from 1 species